rnacentral:rRNA from 1 species
CCUACGGGGGGCUGCAGUGGGGGAUAUUGCACAAUGGGGGAAACCCUGAUGCAGCGACGCCGCGUGGGUGAAGAAGUAUUUCGGUAUGUAAAGCACUAUCAGCAGGGAAGAAAGAAGACGGUACCUGACUAAGAAGCCCCGGCUAACUACGUGCCAGCAGCCGCGGUAAUACGUAGGGGGCGAGCGUUAUCCGGAUUCACUGGGGGUAAGGGGAGCGUAGACGGCCGUGCAAGCCAGGAGUGAAAGCCCGGGGCCCAACCCCGGGACUGCUCUUGGGACUGGGCGGCUGGAGUGCGGGAGGGGCAGGCGGAAUUCCUGGUGUAGCGGUGAAAUGCGUAGAGAUCAGGAGGAACACCGGCGGCGAAGGCGGCCUGCUGGACCGCGACUGACGUUGAGGCUCGAAAGCGUGGGGAGCGAACAGGAUUAGAUACCCGUGUAGUC